rnacentral:rRNA from 1 species
GAUGAACGCCGGCGGUGUGCCUAAUACAUGCAAGUCGUACGCAAUUGGCCCAACUGAUUGAUGGUGCUUGCACCUGAUUGACGAUGGAUCACCAGUGAGUGGCGGACGGGUGAGUAACACGUAGGUAACCUGCCCCGGAGCGGGGGAUAACAUUUGGAAACAGAUGCUAAUACCGCAUAACAACAAAAGCCACAUGGCUUUUGUUUGAAAGAUGGCUUUGGCUAUCACUCUGGGAUGGACCUGCGGUGCAUUAGCUAGUUGGUAAGGUAACGGCUUACCAAGGCGAUGAUGCAUAGCCGAGUUGAGAGACUGAUCGGCCACAAUGGAACUGAGACACGGUCCAUACUCCUACGGGAGGCAGCAGUAGGGAAUCUUCCACAAUGGGCGCAAGCCUGAUGGAGCAACACCGCGUGAGUGAAGAAGGGUUUCGGCUCGUAAAGCUCUGUUGUUGGAGAAGAACGUGCGUGAGGGUAACUGUUCACGCAGUGACGGUAUCCAACCAGAAA